rnacentral:rRNA from 1 species
AUUGAACGCUGGCGGCAUGCCUUACACAUGCAAGUCGAACGGUAACGGGCCUUCGGGUGCCGACGAGUGGCGAACGGGUGAGUAAUACAUCGGAACGUGCCCGAUCGUGGGGGAUAACGAGGCGAAAGCUUUGCUAAUACCGCAUACGAUCUACGGAUGAAAGCAGGGGACCGCAAGGCCUUGCGCGGACGGAGCGGCCGAUGGCAGAGUAGGUAGUUGGUGGGAUAAAAGCUUACCAAGCCGACGAUCUGUAGCUGGUCUGAGAGGAUGAUCAGCCACACUGGGACUGAGACACGGCCCAGACUCCUACGGGAGGCAGCAGUGGGGAAUUUUGGACAAUGGGGGCAAGCCUGAUCCAGCCAGGCCGCGUGCAGGAUGAAGGCCUUCGGGUUGUAAACUGCUUUUGUACGGAACGAAAAGCCUUCUUUUAAUACAGGAGGGUCAUGACGGUACCGUAAGAAUAAGCACCGGCUAACUACGUG